UAGACAUAUUUUAGGCGGGACUACCCGCUGAGUUUAAGCAUAUAAAUAAGCGGAGGAGAAGAAAUUUACAAGGAUUCCCCUAGUAACGGCGAGCGAACCAGGAGCAGCCCAACUUGAGAAUCGGGCGGCUGUGCCAUUCGAAUUGUAGUCUGGAGAGGUGUCCUCAGCGACGGACCGGGCCCAAGUCCCCUGGAAAGGGGUGCCUGGAGUGUGAGAGUCCCAUCUGGCCAGGACCCUGUCGCCCCACGAGGCGCCGUCAACGAGUUGGGUUGUUUGGGAAUGCAGCCCAAAUUGGGCGGUAGACUCCGUCCAAGGCUAAAUACAGACAAGAGACCAAUAGCGAACAAGUCCGCGAGGUAAAGAUGAAAAUGACUUUGAAAAGAGAGUCAAAAAGUGCUUGAAAUUGCCAGGAGGGAAGCGGAUGGGGCCCGGCGAUGCACCCCGGCCGUAUGCAGAACGACUCUUCUUGGUCCGCGGUUCGGCUCGAGGUGUGGACUGUUGUCGACCGCACCGGCAGCCAAAGCCCGGGGGCCCCAGGUGCCCCCGGCGGGCGUCGUCAGCACAACCGGGCCCCGUGGGCCGACAAGCUC
rnacentral:ncRNA from 1 species